rnacentral:lncRNA from 1 species
UGGCCCUUCGUAUACCGGAGCAGGAGGUGGUGGGCUCUCGUAAAUCACUGGCGGAGGCGGUGGUGGAUGUUCACAUGGAAUUGGGGGAGGCGGCGAGGGUGAUGGUGGCGGCGGAGAGUGGUAAUGAACUGGCGGGGGAGGUGAUGGUGAUGGGGGAGGUGGUGAGUUGUAGUGAACUGGGGGUGGAGGCGAUUGCGAUGGCGGUGGCGGUGAAUUAUAGUAAGUUUGUGGAGGUGGCGAAGGUGAUGGUGGAGGUGGUGAAUUGUAUAUAAUCGGUGGUGGUGGGGGUGAUGGUGAUGGUGGUGGCUUAUAAAUAUAUGGUGGUGGUGGUGGUGAAGGUGAUGGCGGAGGUGGUGGUGGUUCUAUACAAGGCGGUGGUGAUGGUGGUGGAGGGGGUUCUAUACAAGGUGGUGGUGGUGGAGGGGGUUCUAUACAAGGUGG